AGCAGCAGCCGCGGUAAUACGAAGGGUGCAAGCGUUACUCGGAAUUACUGGGCGUAAAGCGUGCGUAGGUGGUGGUUUAAGUCCGUUGUGAAAGCCCUGGGCUCAACCUGGGAAUUGCAGUGGAUACUGGGUCACUAGAGUGUGGUAGAGGAUAGUGGAAUUUCCGGUGUAGCAGUGAAAUGCGUAGAGAUCGGAAGGAACAUCUGUGGCGAAGGCGGCCAUCUGGGACAACACUGACGCUGAGGCACGAAAGCGUGGGGAGCAAACAGGAUUAGAUACCCCAGUAGUCCCUGUCUCUUAUAC
rnacentral:rRNA from 1 species